rfam:Virgibacillus necropolis strain LMG 19488 chromosome, complete genome.
UAUAAGCUACAUUGUUCGUAUUAAUUUAAGUUUUAACCUCUAACAUUAUAAUAGGGAGUUUUAUAUAAGAACUGAAAUGUCGAGCCUUCAAUGAGAGGAAGACAGGAAGGUUUUUGCAAACACCCACUUUGAGGAGUGGUGGUUUAAAACUUUUUAUCUGAAAUACGGCAAUUGUGGCUUAUAA